rnacentral:rRNA from 1 species
UUCCUACGGGGGGCAGCAGUGGGGGAUAUUGCACAAUGGGGGGAACCCUGAUGCAGCGACGCCGCGUGGGUGAAGGAGCGUUUCGGCGCGUAAAUCCCUAUCGGCAGGGAAGAAGGAGGACGGUACCUGACUAAGAAGCCCCGGCUAACUACGUGCCAGCAGCCGCGGUAAUACGGAGGGUGCGAGCGUUAAUCGGAAUUACUGGGCGUACAGCGCUCGUAGGCGGGAUGUCAAGUCAAGGUGGAAAUCCACGCGCUCAACGGGG